rnacentral:rRNA from 1 species
UUGAUCUCAAAUCAAGUAGGACUACCCGCUGAACUUAAG